GGGGGCGAAACGGGUUCGACGGAGGUAGUGAAGCUUAAGUUGCAUGCCGAGCUCCUUGCAGCUCGUAAAACAGCAAGGGCCUAAAAUAAACGCAGACGAUUAUGCGUACGCCGUAGCCGCUUAAUCGGCUACCGUCCUGUUAGCUUUCUCCCACGAAGCUAACAAGGGCGUCGGAAUGUGGG
rnacentral:tmRNA from 1 species